rnacentral:rRNA from 1 species
GUGUCUGUCAUCCUGAGUUCUGCUUCCUCAAGAAUUUUAUUACAUGGCACCCAUGGUCUGCCCUUCAGGCAUAUGUGUGGCCUUAGACAGGGCGACCCCUUGUCCCCGAUGUUGUUCAUUCUCACCAUGGAUCCGCUUCGGAAACUGUUGGAUCUUGCAACGGAAGGCAGUGUUCUAACUAAGCUGUGACCUAAGGCAGCCAGAUUUCGUACAAGUAUGUACGCUGAUGAUGCGGCCCUGUUUUAA